rnacentral:tRNA from 1 species
AAAGCUUUAAGUUAAAAAAAACUUAGGGCCUUCAAAGUCCUCAAAGGGGCCUCUCAAGCUUGA